AUUGAACUCUGUCGGCAGGCCUAACACAUGCAAGUCGAGCGAGCGGCGGACGGGUGAGUACUGUCUGGGGAACUGCCUGGUUGAGGGGGCUAACUACUGGAAACGGUAGCUAAUACCGCAUACCAUCAGAUGGACCCCGAUGGGAGUAGCUAGUAGGUGGGGUAAAGGCUCACCUAGGCGACGAUCACUAGCUGGUCUGAGAGGAUGACCAGCCAAACUGGGACUGAGAAACGGUCCAGACUCCUACGGGAGGCAGCAGUGGGGAAUAUUGCACAAUGGGCGCAAGCCUGAUGCAGCAAUGCCGCGUGUAUGAAGAAGGCCUUAGGGUUGUAAAGUACUUUCAGCGGGGAGGCGUUACCCGCAGAAGAAGCACCGGCUAACUCCGUGCCAGCAGCCGCGGUAAUAC
rnacentral:rRNA from 1 species